rnacentral:rRNA from 1 species
UUCGGGGCGAAGUAGCUGAUUUCACACUGUCAAGAAAAGCUUCUAUCGAGUUUAAAGGCGCCCGUACCGUAAACCGACACAGGUGGGUGAGGAGAGUAUCCUAAGGCCAGCGAGAGAACUAUUGUUAAGGAACUCGGCAAAAUGACCCCGUAACUUAGGGAGAAGGGGUGCCUGUCUAUGACAGGCCGCAGAGAAUAGGCCCAAGCGACUGUUUACCAAAAACACAGGUUUCUGCUAAGUCGCAAGACGAUGUAUAGGAGCUGACGCCUGCCCGGUGCUGGAAGGUUAAGGGGAUCUGUUAGAGCAAUCGAAGCAGUGAACUUAAGCCCCAGUAAACGGCGGCCGUAACGAUAACGGUCCUAAGGUAGCGAAAUUCCUUGUCGGGUAAGUUCCGACCCGCACGAAAGGCGUAACGAUUUGGGCACUGUCUCAACAAUAGACUCGGUGAAAUUGUAAUCCCGGUGAAGAUGCCGGGUACCUGCGACAGGACGGAAAGACCCCAUGGAGCUUUACUGUAGCUUGACGUUGGGUCUUGGUACUACAUGUACAGGAUAGGUGGGAGACUAUGAAGCAUGGACGCCAGUCUGUGUGGAGUCAUCCUUGGGAUACCACCCUUGUAGUACUGGGAUCCUAACCAUAGGCCUUGAAUCAGGUCUUGGAACACCGUCAGGUGGGCAGUUUGACUGGGGCGGUCGCCUCCUAAAAAGUAACGGAGGCGCUCAAAGGUUUCCUCAGCACGGUCGGAAAUCGUGCGAAGAGUGUAAAGGCAAAAGGAAGCUUGAUUGCAAGACAUACAGGUCGAGCAAGGACGAAAGUCGGACUUAGUGAUCCGGUGGUACCGCAUGGAAGGGCCAUCGCUCAACGGAUAAAAGCUACCCUGGGGAUAACAGGCUUAUCUCCCCCAAGAGUCCACAUCGACGGGGAGGUUUGGCACCUCGAUGUCGGCUCAUCACAUCCUGGGGCUGUAGUAGGUCCCAAGGGUUGGGCUGUUCGCCCAUUAAAGUGGUACGCGAGCUGGGUUCAGAACGUCGUGAGACAGUUCGGUCCCUAUCCGUCGCAGGCGUAGGAAAUUUGAGAAGACCUGUCCUUAGUACGAGAGGACCGGGAUGGACGUACCUCUGGUGUACCAGUUGUUCUGCCAAGGGCAUGGCUGGGUAGCUAUGUACGGAAUGGAUAAGCGCUGAAAGCAUCUAAGCGCGAAGCCAACUUCAAGAUAAGAUUUCCCACCGUAAGGGUAAGACCCCAGGAAGACUACCUGGUUGAUAGGUCGAAGGUGUAAGUGCAGUAAUGUAUUUAGCUUAUCGAUACUAAUAGGUCGAGGACUUGACCA